AGUGAACGCUGGCGGUAGGCCUAACACAUGCAAGUCGAACGGCAGCACAGUAAGAGCUUGCUCUUACGGGUGGCGAGUGGCGGACGGGUGAGGAAUACAUCGGAAUCUACUUUUUCGUGGGGGAUAACGUAGGGAAACUUACGCUAAUACCGCAUACGACCUACGGGUGAAAGCAGGGGAUCUUCGGACCUUGCGCGAUUGAAUGAGCCGAUGUCGGAUUAGCUAGUUGGCGGGGUAAAGGCCCACCAAGGCGACGAUCCGUAGCUGGUCUGAGAGGAUGAUCACCCACACUGGAACUGAGACACGGUCCAGACCCCUACGGGAGGCAGCAGUGGGGAAUAUUGGACAAUGGGCGCAAGCCUGAUCCAGCCAUACCGCGUGGGUGAAGAAGGCCUUCGGGUUGUAAAGCCCUUUUGUUGGGAAAGAAAAGCAGCAGGUUAAUACCCCGCUGUUCUGACGGUACCCAAAGAAUAAGCACCGGCUAACUUCGUG
rnacentral:rRNA from 1 species